rnacentral:lncRNA from 1 species
AUAUCACUGAAGAAACAUCAGGAAAUACUCAAUCAUUGAAUACGAAAAUUUCGAACUAAGAGUGGUGCCAUCAAAAUGUCAGUCUGCUGACAAAAAAAGCUAUCAUUUCCACCGUACAAAGACUCAGGGAAAUUUCAAAGAGCAGUAAUUAAUGAUAUAGACGUUGGAGACGAUUGGGCAGAUGUCGAAAUGACCCAUUUCAUAAAAUCGAAAGAUGAUUACAAGGAGUGUGUAGAAGCAAUAAAGAGAAAUACUACUGAAUUGCCAAGUGACCCUGAAAAACUUAAAUUCUCUCGGUCUAUUAGAGCAAAACGUAAGACCGUACAUGAUGAAACUAAUGAAGGUACACCAGAAAAAAACCUAAGGGUAAAGCAAAUGUUUCGAGGCCGAUACAAGAAUUUUUUGAUGCUGAUGAUGAAACAUCGUCUGGAGAAGAAAGCAUUACUAUGAAAAAAAGCAACCGAAAUAAGGGUGAUGAGAUUGAUAAUUCUUCUGCUGCUAGUUCUCAGGGAGAUGAUGAAGUUGAUCUGUUAGCGUCGAUAGAAGUUCCAGAAACUCUUGGAAUUGACAUAGUUAACGUUGAAACUUGUCUGACGUCAGAAGAUGAUUUGCCACCAGUUACUGCUAAAAAUAGAGCACCACUUGGUGAAACUGCUGGUAACUCUCAAUCAUUAAUUUCUUCUAAAAAUCAGCGUAACUCUCGUACAGCAUCGCCAACCUUAUCUGAUAAGGAAAAGACGACGGAAAAGAAGAAGGCAAAUACGAAGGAAAAGGCGAAGGGAAAUACGAAGUAAAAGACAAAGGAGAAGGCAAAAGCAAACUCGUCAGGAAGGAAUAAUGCUGCAACGAUCAGUAUAGAAUUUGAAAGUCCCGAAGAAGGGCUAAAAAUAUGUAUUCAUAUGCUUCAAAAUGUAUCUACAAAAUUAGGAGAAGUUUUAACAAAACUAACCAAUCUUGAAACUAGACUAAGCACAAUCGAAGAGCUCUUGAGAUCAGGUGGCAGAAGUGCUGCUUCUAGUACAGCUGGACAAGCGUUAUUAAAAAAUAUGGCGAAGUAUUUUCCUGUGGAUGGUAUUGAUAACAAAUUGGAAACUGUCGAAUCAAUGUUACGAAAGGAUAAACGUUUUUUUAACGCUGCUGUUGUGGCGAGAUCUGCUAUAUAUCGACCAUUGAGACGUUGCGUUCAUGCAUCUUUGGCUGAUGGCAACUACUUUCUGAUUCCUGAUGAUUUUGCAGCACAGUCAUAUAAUUUUUUAAUUUUACUUCAAUAAGGUGCCGUCAUGUCUGAUAAAGUUGCCUGAAAAUACAGCUUCUACGGACAACAAAAGAAGGAAGCGUUCAAGGACCUUACUUUAUGCAGCUGCAUAUUUAUUGCAGUUAAAGAGAAAUUCCCGACGACUGGGACAGAUGACGAAAUAAAGAAAAGCAUUAAGAUGCAUUUGGACACGGCUACUACACGGGUUAAACGUGCGGAAACGUAAGUGCUAUGUAUAAAGAUCUCAGAAGAGCAUACCUGAUUUGAUAAAGUCGUUCAUGCCGGUGUUACCUGAGUUUGAUGAAGAGGGGCAGGAAAGUGAUAAGGAGUAGAUAAAAUCUAUCUACUAUUAUAUUAAAGUGCUUAAUGUCCCCGUGUGCCGUGAAGCCUUUCACAUCUUUUCCCAAUAACUUAACAUGUAGGAUAUAAUUUUGGGCCUUAAAAUAUUUGGGCCUCAAAUAUUUUUGGAUCUUAAAAUGUAUAACCUUAAAAUGUUUGGGCCGUAAUAAUUUCGGGUUAUUUAAAUAUUUCUGUGUGCCG